GCCCCUCCCGAGGCUCCACUCCCGAGGGUGUUGGCUAAUCCGCUCGCUGGGUGGAAAAUCUGGUCCUGUCCCCGGCGAAGACGGGCCACCGCCGCCUUGCCAUCUCCUGCAGCCGCGAAGGGGUUCUGCUUCUACGCGGCCUUGCAGUGAGUAAGCAUCCGUCACCAGGAAACCUUCCGAAAGGGAAAGGAUAUGCUGCCGUUCCAAUUCUUCACUGUCAGGAGAAACAGCAGCGAUGGAGCUCAGAAUGUAGUCGUUUUAUGGCAGAGAGAUUUUUAGGAUGCGUUUUUAUUUUUUGACGCGGCCCAGGCAUUUCUUUCGGGACAUCAGUGGAAUCUGAUGAUUGUGCCCAGCAAGAGUCUUGAUCCGAGAGGGAUCCCGAUCCUGUACGGCCAUCUCCUUGGCUGUUGCCUGCACAGUGUGCUAAAAAGGAAGGUUCACUAACAAUAAAACUGUCUUCUUGUUUGAAUUCUGACCACAUCAGUCUACACAUCUACCACAGUCUACCAUAUCAGUUUUGUACAUCUCUCAGAGUAGAGAAAUCUGAUUGUCAUAGACUUCCACUUGCACUGACUUCACAUAAGAGACUUUGGUGUUGGCUCCUCUGUGCUCAUUUGUUGUGGACACAUCGAAGUAUGGAAGCUUCUCAGAGACAUUGCACACUUUGGAGAGGGUGUAAGUGCAAUUUCCCAUGAAAUUAUGGACUCUGUGGUCAAAAGUGUUAUAAUGUGGAUCUCCAGAGGCGCUGCAGGAAGCACGGUCUGUGAAGACAAAAAGACAGACUAAUUCCCUCCGAAUCUUCAUCAGAUUUUUGCAGUUGCUUGGUUUCCACUUUGUUUUACUUUGUGUUUGCUGCUCUGAUAUAAUAUUGACAGCAACAGCACUCCAAAGGCCAACCCAGUCUUCUAUCUCUGGACCCAUAAAAAAACCUGUACUUGUGUAUCAGAAAUCUAUGCUAGAGGUUGAGGAACAAAUGUGAGCAAAAGGCUUUGAUAUGAAAGAAAAAAAGGCACUGCUGUUAAGACAUCAUUAUACAAACUGUAGCAGUGAGUUUUUAGUGUCGAUAUCUGAAAGGCUAUUUCUGACUAAAUAGGAAGAAUUUCCAUAACAUCUUUACAGUGUUGGUUAGCCAGAAUAGCUGCACUACCAGCUGUCUGGAUUUCUGUACUCACAUCAUUUAUGGAACUUAUAUUGAACAUUGCAUACACAAGAUAUCUUUUACACAUUUUUAAAAAAUAUCAAAGUUAACUAGCCAGUGAUAAUACGUACAAAUGGAAGUACACUGUGCAUUCAUUGAAGUGUGUAAUGCGGAGAAGAUUUUGAAUGUUAAUAAGAAAUUCCUGUUUUGAAGAAAAAAAAUUCCCAUCAACUCUUAACAGAGUUGAGAUUGAAGGUUCUUCAUGGUGCUUCCCAAUAAUAAAAAAAGAUAAAGAAAGAGAUCCUUUCCUCUUUCUUUUUCAAUGGCAUGUUAAAAUGUAGCUACACGUACGGUUGUUGUCUACAUGUGAAGCUUAACUCCUUACACAGAAAGUAUUAAUGCUCCCAGAAUGGCAUACUUAACAGUUACCAAAAAAAAAGCAGAAGAAAUCUAAACUGAUUACGUGAGCUAGGACUCUCUUGUAUUUAACAAGUUGACAUAUGCAGAUAUAAGUGCUUAAAAUUGGAGGAAAGAAACAAUUAAAAUUUAUCAAAGGGUAUUUUAGUAUAUAUCCUAAAUAUUAAACUAACAGUAAUUGCUCUGAAUCAGACUUUGACAGGAAAAUACAAUUGACUUAUAUCACACCCCAAAAAUAAAAUUUGGAAACUAAAUUAAAUUUCAAAAUAUACAAAAAAUAACGUCUGUAUAAUAGGUGAAAACUUACCAUAGGAAAGAGUAAUCUAAAUAUUUAUGGACAUGGAAAUAAAGACUAUGUGAGAUAA